rnacentral:misc_RNA from 1 species
CUGCAUCCAAGAGGUCAUACAAACCAGCCUGUCAAGUGUUCCACUUGAACCCAUACCACUAAUCAUUAAUGUGAGAAUUUACCAAAUCAAGAUUUUUAGAGUUUUUUUUUUUUAUUGGUCAUGCAACUAAGCCAAUAUAUAUAUAGAGCUGUCGUAUAAGAUCCAGAUAGAUAAUUUGGUAAAAGAGAAGUUGAUAUCACUCUGCUGUGCACUCAACAAUUUAUUGGGAAAUGUUU